AACGAACGCUGGCGGCGUGCCUAACACAUGCAAGUCGAACGGAGAUAAGAAGCUUGCUUCUUAUUUUAGUGACGCACGGGUGAGUAACGCGUGGAUAAUCUACCUGAUGCUCUGGGAUAACAUCUCGAAAGGGGUGCUAAUACCGGAUAAGCCCACGAUCUCUUCGGAGAAUGCGGGAAAAGGAGGGGACCUUCGGGCGUUCCGACGUGAGAUGAGUACGCCUCCCAUUAGCUAGUUGGCGGGGUAAUGGCCCACCAAGACUACGAUGGGUAGGUGGUCUGAGAGGAUGAUCAGCCACACUGGAACUGAGACACGGUCCAGACUCCUACGGGAGGCAGCAGUGGGGAAUUUUGCGCAAUGGGGGAAACCCUGACGCAGCGACGCCGCGUGAGUGAUGAAGGCUUUCGGGUCGUAAAGCUCUGUCAGAAGGGAAGAAAUGUAGGUGGCUAAUAUCCAUUCUGCUUGACGGUACCUUCAAAGGAAGCACCGGCUAACUCCGUGCCAGCAGCCGCCGUAAUAC
rnacentral:rRNA from 1 species